rnacentral:lncRNA from 1 species
GGAAUCAGGGAUUACGGAAUGGGAAUAGGGAGUGGGCUCUAGGCUGAGUGGGGGGAAUCGGGGAUUAGGGAAUGGGAAGGCUAGAUGGGCCAUUGGGCCGUCCGGCGGGUGUGGCCUGUGGGCUAUUUGUGUUGGACGUGAAUUGGAACCAUAAAAUAGGUGGGAGUAUCAAUUUUAAGAUCUUAACUAUAUUAUACAUUAACUAUAUUAUACAUGUAUAUAUCUCUGAGAAAUACUAAAUUUUUUCAAAAAAUGUUAGGUAUGCCUAGGAAUACCUACGCACAACUGUGGGUCCGCCCCUGCCUGCAAGGUAAUGUGCCAAGACCUUACCAUUUUGGCAGCACCGAGCCUCCUCUUCCUGCAUGUUCUAGGAAAACCAAGAGAUGCUAAUAUUGAGUUGGCUGAAAUUGCCUGGGUC